rnacentral:snoRNA from 1 species
AUGAUGAAGACGGGAUAUUAUGACAAGUGGUGAAGAUACGAACCCCUCUGA